rnacentral:rRNA from 1 species
CCCUUAGAUGUUCUGGGCCGCACGCGCGCUACACUGACGAAUGCAACGAGCUUAUAACCUUGGCCGAAAGGUCUGGGUAAUCUCCAAAUUUCGUCGUGAUGGGGAUAGAUUAUUGCAAUUAUUAAUCUUCAACGAGGAAUGCCUAGUAAGCGCAAGUCAUCAGCUUGCGUUGAUUACGUCCCUGCCCUUUGUACACACCGCCCGUCGCUCCUACCGAUUGAAUGGUCCGGUGAAGCGUUCGGACCGUGGCCUUGGACGGUUCGCCGUCUGUUGGCUGCGGGAAGUUCGUUAAACCUUAUCAUUUAGAGGAAGGAGAANUCGUAACA